GAGUUUGAUCCUGGCUCAGAGUGAACGCUGGCGGCAGGCCUAACACAUGCAAGUCGAACGGCAGCACAGGGGAGCUUGCUCCCUGGGUGGCGAGUGGCGGACGGGUGAGGAAUACAUGGGAAUCUACCCUGUCGUGGGGGAUAACGUAGGGAAACUUACGCUAAUACCGCAUACGACCGAGAGGUGAAAGCGGCGGACCGCAAGGCGUCGCGCGAUUGGAUGAGCCCAUGUCGGAUUAGCUAGUUGGCGGGGUAAAGGCCCACCAAGGCGACGAUCCGUAGCUGGUCUGAGAGGAUGAUCAGCCACACUGGAACUGAGACACGGUCCAGACUCCUACGGGAGGCAGCAGUGGGGAAUAUUGGACAAUGGGCGCAAGCCUGAUCCAGCCAUGCCGCGUGGGUGAAGAAGGCCUUCGGGUUGUAAAGCCCUUUUGUCCGGAAAGAAAAGCUUCGGGUUAAUACCCCGGGGUCCUGACGGUACCGGAAGAAUAAGCACCGGCUAACUUCGUGCCAGCAGCCGCGGUAAUACGAAGGGUGCAAGCGUUACUCGGAAUUACUGGGCGUAAAGCGUGCGUAGGUGGUCCGUUAAGUCUGAUGUGAAAGCCCUGGGCUCAACCUGGGAAUUGCAUUGGAUACUGGCAGGCUAGAGUGCGGUAGAGGGUAGUGGAAUUCCCGGUGUAGCAGUGAAAUGCGUAGAGAUCGGGAGGAACACCAGUGGCGAAGGCGACUACCUGGACCAGCACUGACACUGAGGCACGAAAGCGUGGGGAGCAAA
rnacentral:rRNA from 1 species